rnacentral:misc_RNA from 1 species
GAUGAAGAACGUAGCGAAAUGCGAUAAGUAAUGUGAAUUCCAGAAUUCAGUGAAUCAUCGAAUCUUUGAACGCACCUUGCGCUCCUUGGUAUUCCUUGGAGCAUGCCUGUUUGAGUAUCAUGAAGUUCUCAAAGUAAACCUUUUGUUAAUUCAAUUGGUUCUGCUUUGGACUUGGAGGACUUUGCGGAUUAACAUCUGCUCCUCUUAAAUUUAUUAGCUGGAUCUCAGUAUAUGCUUGGUUCCACUCGGCGUGAUAAGUUAUCACUCGCUGAGGACACUGUAAAAGGUGGCCAGGAAAUACAGAUGAACCGCUUCUAAUAGUCUAUUAAAUUAGACAAUUAAUUUUAAGAUCUGAUCUCAAAUCAGGUAGGACUACCCGCUGAACUUAAGCAUAUCAUAAGCGGAGGA